UACGUAGGGGGCAAGCGUUAUCCGGAUUUACUGGGUGUAAAGGGAGCGCAGACGGCAGUGCAAGUCUGGAGUGAAAGCCCGGGGCCCAACCCCGGAACUGCUCUGGAAACUGUGCGGCUAGAGUACUGGAGGGGCAGGCGGAAUUCCUAGUGUAGCGGUGAAAUGCGUAGAUAUUAGGAGGAACACCAGUGGCGAAGGCGGCCUGCUGGACAGUAACUGACGUUGAGGCUCGAAAGCGUGAGGAGCAAACAGG
rnacentral:rRNA from 1 species